CCUUCGGUCAGGAUGGAAUUAAACAGACCUUGGACGUGGCUUCCUAACCUCCCAGACCAGAUCCACGAAGGCGCUGGUUGGAAGGCUUCCCAGCCCUUUCUUUCACGCCUCGCUUCACCUGCUUCGUGUUCCUCCUCUCCCCGAGGAGAAGCCUUGUCCCCCGGAGCCUUGUGGCCCACGACUCCCGCCUCCACUCAGCCAGCCCCUCAGGGAGCUCUGCUCUUUCCUCUUUCUCAGCUCUCAGAUCUGCUUGCUACGUGUCCUCACCGCUGCCCCCCUGAGUUAGGCUCCCAAGCGCUCCUGCACCUGGCUGCAGGCAUCCUUUCCCUCGUCUUCUUUCCCCGCAGCCUUGCAGCUGAAGUCCCCUCCCAAGGGCAGGCGUGGUCGUGCCACUUGCCUCCCUGGUUUGGAGAUGAUGCCCAAACGUCUUCGCCGGGCGUUUGGGGACCCGUGGCAUCCUCCUUCUGCCCCAGCCCCUGGCCUCACCUCCCUUCACCCUUAUCCACAUUUGGCCCCCACUCUGCUGAAUUCUUGAAGGUCCCCGUUGUGUGGCUGUUCUUGAGGUACACUUGCAGCCCCCCAUCUCCUUCCCUGCCCACCCCGUCCAAACCCCCAUUGGCCCCAUCGCCACUUGGCUAAAUUUGUUCCAUCUUUAAGACUCAGCCCAGGUGUCAGCCAACUGGGAAGUGUCUUUUGACCGACCGCGGCACCUGUCACACUUACCGACAAUGGUUUACGUGUCCUGAAGACCAGGCUGUGUCUUUCUCAAGGGCAGGGAUGACCCCGUUCAUUUCUCACCACUCAGAAUUUAGAACAUUGCUGAUUUAUGGUAGGCACUCACACGUGUUUGUUGAAUGAAUGAACAGUGUCCAGUAAGAGUUUGAUAUCCGAUGCCACUUUGGUUUACGAUGUAGUGUUCUAUCACCGAGGGUUGUUUUGUAAUGUAUAGUAUUGAUGACUUUCACACAAGCAUUUUGUGCACCAUAGAUCAAUCUAGCAAAUGAAGUCCAAGAACCAUUUGGAUAAAUCUUUCUUCGGAAAGAACUUUAGGUAUCAAGUAACUCCACUCAUGUAUAUGCCUCUAAUUACAGAUUUGCUUCCUUCCAAAUAUUAGAUUUUUAAAGUUUCAGCAUUAUGUUAGCAAUUUCCCAUACACCAUCUUUAUGCAUAUAACUUGCAUCCAAUCAUAUUUACUUUUUGCUCAUUUGACUGAAUUUAUGGAUAGGUAAAGUAACUAACUUUCAGUAAUUAAACUGACAGGUGGUCUUCUGUCUGCAAGUCCAUUGUUCUGUUAUAUGCGGGAGUGAGUGGAAACAAAGUUGCAAGGCUCAGAGAGUGAGCCGCUGGAUUCUACACCCAGAAAGGAAACGUGCAGCCAUUUAAGGGCAUGUGAUUUCAAGGAAGUGUCUGCACGAGCUGGCCUUGCAGCAGUGGACGGCACAGCUGAAGUGCUGGCAGCACAGCUCCAGCCUGGGCGAGUCAUCAACCUUUUCAGGCCUUGCCUCCAGGCCCUGGGAAGCCCUCUGACACAAUGUUCUCCAGUCUUCUCAAAGAAAUAGUUAUUGUGAAGGUUUGAAAUUGUGCUUUCUGCCAGGAGGUGCAGAUCACAUGAGUAAAUGCAAAAACAGCUCAAAGUAGGAAGAGAAUGACCUAUGUGCUUUUCCAUAGCUUUUUAGUUAUUCUGCGUAAAUAUUCAGGAUGUCGCUUGAUUUUUGACUUUCAGUCAUGAAUGUAGCUGUUCCAAAGCUUAUUGAAAUACGUGCUGAUACUCAUUCCAUCAUCCAAGAAGUGUUUAUUGAGCACCUACUCUGUGCCAGCUCCAGACACUGAGGAUAAAUCAGAGAACAGAAACAAAAUCUUAUCACAUGGACCCACAAAUAAAUAUGUAUAAUGUAUCAGACUAUAAAUAUCUUGUUUAUUCUGUAUGUCUAUAAUAUCUAAUCUUAUUCAAUGGUAUCAUUCAUUGCCUUUUUCGGUCUUUCAAAACUAAAUGAAUUUAAAUAUCCUGGAACAUUUAUUUCACUGUCUAUGAAAAACAUCUAGAUACAAAUCUACAUAAUAUUGUUCACUUUUGCAUUAUUCUUCCAAGUAUAUUCUCAUUGUUCCUGGUCUGUUUUGUGACAUGAAUAAGUAGUAUUAAUUAACAUGCUUGAGAGGUCAUGUUAUAUAUGUAUAUAUAUUUACUGAGAAGAUAUUGCCAAGCAGUUAUAUAACUAAAAGGCUAAAGGUAUCUGUGUUUAUAUACAUGUUUGUAUGUGUAUUUAUUAAGUAUCUUAUAUAUAUUCAAACUAUCAUUGUAUAUAGUACAAGUAAAUUUUAUUAAUUUGAACUUUACUCUUUGCAAGUUUCCAGUUCUCCAGGUACUGAUAAGGAUGAUUUAUCUUUAUAUUACAUUUGUAUGUUUAUUGUUUGAUAAGCAAAUGUUAUAAAUACCUUUUUAAAAACUAUUUUUAAAUGUAAACAUCCAUUUAUAUUUGAAAAAAAUAUAAGCUUUAACUGAUCAUUUUUUGAAAGCUUGUGUCAUAAAAACUCAACAGAAAAAGAAGUCUAAUAUGUAUAAUAUUUGUUUAUGGA